rnacentral:RNase_P_RNA from 1 species
CGAGCAGACCGGGCGGUCGCGGCGCAAGCCGAGGAAAGUCCGGACUCCAGAGGGCAACGUAGCGGGUAAUACCCGUCCGCCGUGAGGCGAGGACCAGCGCCACAGUGACGAACCCGCGCAAGCGGGGGUGAAACGCGGCAAGCUCUACGUGGAGCAAGAUCACGCAGGGGACCAUGGUGUGGCCCGCACCGUCCCCGGGUGGAUCGCUAGAGGCGGAGGGCGACCUCCGUCCGAGAUGGAUGACCGUCCACGACAGGAUCCGGCUUAGAGGUCUGCUCGGCAU